UGAGGAAUAUUGGUCAAUGGACGAGAGUCUGAACUAGCCAAGUAGCGUGAAGGAUGACUGCCCUAUGGGUUGUAAACUUCUUUUAUACGGGAAUAAAGUGAGGCACGUGUGCCUUUUUGUAUGUACCGUAUGAAUAAGGAUCGGCUAACUCCGUGCCAGCAGCCGCGGCAAUACGGAGGAUCCGAGCGUUAUCCGGAUUUAUUGGGUUUAAAGGGAGCGUAGGUGGAUUGUUAAGUCAGUUGUGAAAGUUUGCGGCUCAACCGUAAAAUUGCAGUUGAAACUGGCAGUCUUGAGUACAGUAGGGGUGGGCGGAAUUCGUGGUGUAGCGGUGAAAUGCUUAGAUAUCACGAAGAACUCCGAUUGCGAAGGCAGCUCACUGGACUGCAACUGACACUGAUGCUCGAAAGUGUGGGUAUCAAACAGG
rnacentral:rRNA from 1 species